AUUGAACGCUGGCGGCAGGCUUAACACAUGCAAGUCGAGCGAGCGGCGGACGGGUGAGUAAUGUCUGGGAAACUGCCUGAUGGAGGGGGAUAUCUACUGGAAACGGUAGCUAAUAACGCAUACCAUCAACUGUGCCCAGAUGGGAUUAGCUAGUAGGUGGGGUAAUGGCUCAACGAGGCGACGAUCCCUAGCUGGGCUGAGAGGCGGACCAGCCACCCUGGAACGUAGACACGGUCCAUACUCCUACGGGAGGCAGCAGUGGGGAAUAUUGCACAAUGGGCGCAAGCCUGAUGCAUCCAUGCCGAGUGUGUGAAGAAGGCCUUCGGGUUGGAAAGCACUUUCAGCGAGGAGGCGUUACUCGCAGAAGAAGCACCGGCUAACACCGUGCCAGCAGCCGCGGUAAUAC
rnacentral:rRNA from 1 species